UAGCACCUUCGGUGUUCGAGUUGUAAUUUGAAGAUGGUAACCUUGGGUUUGGCUCUUGUCUAUGUUCCUUGGAACAGGACGUCAUAGAGGGUGAGAAUCCCGUCUGAUGAGAUGCCCAUUCCUAUGUAAGGUGCUAUCGAAGAGUCGAGUUGUUUGGGAAUGCAGCUCUAAGUGGGUGGUAAAUUCCAUCUAAAGCUAAAUAUUGGCGAGAGACCGAUAGCGAACAAGUACAGUGAUGGAAAGAUGAAAAGAACUUUGAAAAGAGAGUGAAAAAGUACGUGAAAUUGUUGAAAGGGAAGGGCAUUAGAUCAGACUUGGUGUUUUACGAUUAUCUUCUCUUCUUGAGUUGUGCACUCGUAUUUCACUGGGCCAGCAUCGAUUCGGAUGGCAAGAUAAUGGCAGUUGAAUGUGGCUUCACUUCGGUGGAGUGUUAUAGCUUCUGCUGAUAUUGCCUGUCUGGAUCGAGGGCUGCGUCUUUUGACUAGGAUGCUGGCGUAAUGAUCUAAU
rnacentral:rRNA from 1 species